rnacentral:rRNA from 1 species
UACGUAGGGGGCUAGCGUUGUCCGGAUUUAUUGGGCGUAAAGAGCGUGUAGGCGCCAGGUAGGUCCGCUGUGAAAGUCCGAGGCUCAACCUCGGAAUGUCGGCGGAAACCCUCUGGCUAGAGUCCGGAAGAGGAGAGUGGAAUUCCCGGUGUAGCGGUGAAAUGCGCAGAUAUCGGGAAGAACACCCGUGGCGAAGGCGGCUCUCUGGAACGGUACUGACGCUGAGACGCGAAAGCGUGGGGAGCGAACAGG